GGUGGCAGGGUAGCCUAGUGGUUUGAGUGUAGAGGUGGCAGGGUAGCCUAGUGGUUUGAGUGUAGAGGUGGCAGGGUAGCCUAGUGGUUUGAGUGUAGAGGUGGCAGGGUAGCCUAGUGGUUUGAGUGUAGAGGUGGCAGGGUAGCCUAGUGGUUUGAGUGUAGAGGUGGCAGGGUAGCCUAGUGGUUUGAGUGUAGAGGUGGCAGGGUAGCCUAGUGGUUAGAGUGUAGAGGUGGCAGGGUAGCCUAGUGGUUAGAGUGUAGAGGUGGCAGGGUAGCCUAGUGGUUAGAGUGUAGAGGUGGCAGGGUAGCCUAGUGGUUAGAGUGUAGAGGUGGCAGGGUAGCCAAGUGGUUAUAGCGUUGGACCGGAAGGUUGCAAGUUCAAACCCCUGAGCUGACAAGGUACAAAUCUGUCGUUCUGCCCAUGAACAGGCAGUUAACCCACUGUUCCUAGGCUGUCAUUGAAAAUAAGAAUUUGUUCUUAACUCACUUGCCUGGUUAAAUAAAUAAAGGUAAAAAAUUGAAGAACUUUUUUUGAUGAAGGUCCCUUGCUGUUUUUGAUGACUAGCAUAAACAGUUGAAGAGCAGGACUAUUCUGAAAAAUGUCAACACUUGUUGAAUUCUAGUGUACAGACAGUAUAAACCAGCCUUUAGUUUUACAGUAGACAGGAAUUGUCUUAAAUAUACAAU